rnacentral:lncRNA from 1 species
CGGCUCAACAGCACAACGAGGAGGAUCUGAUCGGCGCCGACCUUCCCCGUGUGUGAUCUGCGGUGGCCCCCAUUACCCACCGCAGAGUCCACAGCGGGCGGGCAGGUGCUUCCAGUGUGGCCAGGAGGGCCACGUCCGUACUGAGUGCCCGAGAGGUUCUUCACCGGCACCGUCGACUGCAUCGGCACUGGCUCUACCAGCCGUCAGCCACGGGACUCCGAUGACACAGUACCAGCUUGGGCGGCCACCCGUGCAGCGCCAGAGCGAGGGAUCUCGACAGGUCCCGAGUGGGCGCAUGUACGCCGCUCAGACCAAGGAGGCGGCAGCAGCCGAGGAUGUGGUUGCAGGUAUCAUUUUACUUGAUGGCAUUAGAGUUCGUGC